rnacentral:rRNA from 1 species
UACGGGGGGGGUAAGCGUUGUUCGGAAUUACUGGGCGUAAAGGGUCUGUAGGUGGCGCACUAAGCCACACGUGAAAUCCCUCAGCUUAACUGGGGAACUGCGUGUGGGACUGGAGCGCUUGAGGACAGGAGAGGAACGCGGAAUUCCAGGUGUAGCGGUGAAAUGCGUAGAUAUCUGGAGGAACACCGGUGGCGAAGGCGGCGUUCUGGACUGUUUCUGACACUGAAAGACGAAAGCCAGGGGAGCAAACGGG